GAGUUUGAUCCUGGCUCAGGAUGAACGCUGGCGGCGUGCCUAACACAUGCAAGUCGAACGAAGCGCCUUUUGAGAUUCUUCGGAUGAUUGAUUGGUGACUGAGUGGCGGACGGGUGAGUAACGCGUGGGUAACCUGCCUUAUACAGGGGGAUAACAGUCAGAAAUGGCUGCUAAUACCGCAUAAGCGCACAGAGCUGCAUGGCUCAGUGUGAAAAACUCCGGUGGUAUAAGAUGGACCCGCGUUGGAUUAGCUUGUUGGUGGGGUAACGGCCCACCAAGGCGACGAUUGGUAGCCGGACUGAGAGGUUGAACGGCCACAUUGGGACUGAGACACGGCCCAGACUCCUACGGGAGGCAGCAGUGGGGGAUAUUGCACAAUGGGGGAAACCCUGAUGCAGCGACGCCGCGUGGAGGAAGAAGGUCUUCGGAUUGUAAACUCCUGUUGUUGAGGAAGAUAAUGACGGUACUCAACAAGGAAGUGACGGCUAACUACGUGCCAGCCGCCGCGGUAAUUC
rnacentral:rRNA from 1 species